rnacentral:snRNA from 1 species
GUGCUCGCUUCAGCAGCACAUAUACUAAAACUGGAAUGAUUAGCAUGGCUUCUGUGCAAGGAUAACAGGCGAAUUUGUGAAGCAUUCCAUAUUUUU